CCUACGGGUGGCAGCAGUGGGGAAUAUUGGACAAUGGGGGGAACCCUGAUCCAGCCAUGCCGCGUGUGUGAAGAAGGCCCUCGGGUUGUAAAGCACUUUCAGUGAGGAAGACGCCUGGUGGUUAAUACCCAUCAGGAAAGACAUCACUCACAGAAGAAGCACCGGCUAACUCCGUGCCAGCAGCCGCGGUAAUACGGAGGGUGCGAGCGUUAAUCGGAAUUACUGGGCGUAAAGCGCGCGUAGGUGGCUUGAUAAGCCGGUUGUGAAAGCCCCGGGCUCAACCUGGGAACGGCAUCCGGAACUGUCAAGCUAGAGUGCAGGAGAGGAAGGUAGAAUUCCCGGUGUAGCGGUGAAAUGCGUAGAGAUCGGGAGGAAUACCAGUGGCGAAGGCGGCCUUCUGGACUGACACUGACACUGAGGUGCGAAAGCGUGGGUAGCAAACAGGAUUAGAUACCCCAGUAGUC
rnacentral:rRNA from 1 species